UAGGGAAUCUUCCGCAAUGGACGAAAGUCUGACGGAGCAACGCCGCGUGAGCGAAGAAGGUCUUAGGAUCGUAAAGCUCUGUUGUCAGGGAAGAACAAGUGCCGUUCGAACAGGGCGGUACCUUGACGGUACCUGACGAGGAAGCCACGGCUAACUACGUGCCAGCAGCCGCGGUAAUACGUAGGUGGCAAGCGUUGUCCGGAAUUAUUGGGCGUAAAGCGCGCGCAGGCGGUUCCUUAAGUCUGAUGUGAAAUCUCGCGGCUCAACCGCGAGCGGCCAUUGGAAACUGGGGAACUUGAGUGCAGGAGAGGGGAGCGGAAUUCCACGUGUAGCGGUGAAAUGCGUAGAGAUGUGGAGGAACACCAGUGGCGAAGGCGGCUCUCUGGCCUGUAACUGACGCAGAGGCGCGAAAGCGUGGGGAGCGAACAGG
rnacentral:rRNA from 1 species